UGGAUAGAUUAUUGUAUUCGACUGUAUUCACAGCAUAAAACUGGGGACUACUCUGUUUUUAAAUGAAAAGUGAAUCAAUUAACAUAAUAGACUCCU
rnacentral:pre_miRNA from 1 species